AACGAACGCUGGCGGCAUGCCUAACACAUGCAAGUCGAACGAGACCUUCGGGUCUGGUGGCGCACGGGUGCGUAACGCGUGGGAACCUGCCCUUAGGUUCGGAAUAACUCCCCGAAAGGGGUGCUAAUACCGGAUAAUGUCUUCGGACCAAAGAUUUAUCGCCUUUGGAUGGGCCCGCGUUGGAUUAGCUUGUUGGUAGGGUAAAAGCCUACCACGGCGACGAUACAUAGCUGGUCUGAGAGGAUGAUCAGCCACACUGGGACUGAGACACGGCCCAGACUCCUGCGGGAGGCAGCAGUGGGGAAUAUAGGACAAUGGGCGAAAGCCUGAUCCAGCAAGGCCGCGUGAGUGAUGAAGGCCUUAGGGUUGUAAAGCUCUUUUACCCGGGAUGAUAAUGACAGUACCGGGAGAAUAAGCUCCGGCUAACUCCGUG
rnacentral:rRNA from 1 species